rnacentral:lncRNA from 1 species
GGAGUGUGGGUGGAAACCAUCUCCCCAGGAGAAGGGUGCACCUUCCCGAUGCAUGGCCAGAGCUGCGUGUUGCACUACACCGGUAUGCUUGAAGGUGGAAAGAAAAUUCAUUCUCCCCUGGACAGAAACAAGUUCUUUAAGUUUAUGCUAGGCAAGCAGGAGGUGAUCUGAGGUUGGGAAGAAGGGGUUGCUCAGAAGAGUGUGGGCCAGAGAGACAAACUGACAACAUCUCCAGAUUAUGCCUACGGUACCACUGGGCACCCAGGCAUCAUCCCACCACAUGCCACUCUCGUCUUCGAUAUGGAGCUUCUAAAACUGG